rnacentral:lncRNA from 1 species
CUAAGGUUUGAUUAUAAACGUUGUUUGACUUGUAUGGAAAAGUUUAUUAGUAACGUUUGGGAUUCAUUUUGUAUGCAUUUUGAUGGAGGGAAAUUGGGUGGAUUAUUGACUGAAGUGCGCCAGCUAAACUGAGUUUUUAUGGAUAUAAAGAAGGACAUUAUCGAACAAAAGGACCAUUUCUGAUGUAACUGGGACCUUUUGGAGUGCCAACAGAAGAUGAUCAUCAAAGGUAAGGCAUUUAUUAUAUCGCUAUUUCUGACUUUUGUGUCGCACCUGCCUGGUUGAAAUAUGUUUUUCAUGUGUUUGUAUGCGGGGUGCUGUCCUCAGAUAAUCGCAUGGUUUGCUUUCGCCUUAAGGCCUUUUUGAAAUCUGACACAGCGGCUGGAUUAACAAGAAGUUAAGCUUUAUUUUGAUGUAUUACACUUGUGAUUUUAUGAAAGUUGAAUAUUUAUAAUACUGUAGUUUGAAUUUGGCGCUCUGCAAUUUCACCGGAUGUUGUCGAGGUGUCCCGCUAGCGGCACGCCUUUCCCAAAACAGGCCUAAAUACAUGGGUGAGUGUAAUGGGUAGAAGUGUGUGUGUGUGUGUGUGUGUGUGUGUGUGUGUGUGCAUCAAAAUAUUUUUACUUAGUUACUUUACACAACUGACUGUGAGAGCUGGUUGCUAACUCUCUCUCUCUCUCUCUGUGUUGUCUCUCUCUCUGUUCUCUCUCUCUCUCUGUUCUCUCUCUCUGUCUGUUCUCUCUCUCUGUCUGUUCUCUCUGUCUGUCUGUCUCUAACACACAGCCGUCAGUGGAAGCUGCUUAUGAGUGUUUUAUUAGAGCAAAACUCUGCCAAGAGUAACAGUCAAACUGCACAGAUAAUUAUGAACACUGUUUCAGCCUGACUCACAAUACACAAGCUACAGCAAGGAGUCCCACUGCAUUCCACACUGAAUCAAAACACAUAUCUCCUGGCCGUGGUGACUAUCCCUUGCUGGUCUGAACAGUAAGGGCAGAUGUAGGAUAUUUGGCCCCAGUUCUAUAAUAACAUACUAGUAGCUCUGUGUACUCCUUUUAGGGGGUUAGGAACCAACUUGCACCCCUGUCCUCUCUCAAAAGGGGAGUGCAGGAUAACCUUUCUCUCUCCAUCUCUCUCUCCAUCUCUCUCCCUUUCCCUCUCUUUUUCUUUCUUUCUUUCUUUCUUUCUUUCUUUCUUUCUUUCUUUCUUUCUUUCUUUCUUUCUUUCUUUCUUUCUUUCUUUCUUUCUUUCUUUCUUUCUUUCUUUCUUUCUUUCAUGGGUAGUGCAGAAGGCCUCUUUCCCUCUCCGCUAAUCAUACUUAAUGAUUCAAAUGGGCCUCAGACAUGCCUUUGAAAUAAAAUCUACUUACAGCGCACACAAACACACACACAGACACACACACACACACACACACACACACACACACACACACACACACACACACACACACACACACACACACACACACACACACACACACACACACACACACACACACAUUUGCCAGGGAGUACAGCGAGUGAUUGUUAGAAGUCAGACUGAGCAGAGGGAAGGAGAGAGGGAUGAAGAGAGAGGAGAGAGGGAUGUAACUGUAGAAGUGUGAUUUAGUCCGGAUGUUUCCGCUCCAUCAGCGGGGCUCUAACGACCACUCCUGGGGCCUCAGCUUGAAUCGCCUCUGACACAGCUGGUGAAAAGAUCUCCACAGACAUGAUUGGCUGGGAAGGCCCUUUCGUCCUGUGCUUCUUCCUUGGGAGGAAACAUCCUUUCUCAUUCUGAGGCAAUGCUUGAGGAAGAAAUGGUAAUACUUGAAUGUGAUGUGCAUUCCACACACACACACACACACACACACACACACACACACACACACACACACACACACACACACACACACA